AUUAUAAUAAAAUAAGUAAUAAUUAUAAUUAUGAUUGUGAAAGGGUAAAGGAUUUAAUUAAUAGUUGAUAUAUAUUCUGAGAUUUCAAGUUUGAAUCUUAGCUGAUUCAUAUUUACAGUUAAGUUUAUUUCUAAAAUUAUAAUUGUGAUUAAGUUAAUUAAUUACCUGUGCUAAUUAAAUUAAAUAUGUUCAUGACCCACCUGAAGAUCCCUAACACGGCUUGCAUAACUCCGGUGAAGAACGCCGCGGUGUAGAACGUGUUGAGGUACAGCUGCGGGUCCUCCGCCGCGGGCACGUCCGCGCCGAUGAUCGACGCGAGGAGCAGCGACGCCGCCGCCACCGUCCCCACCGCCAGGUUCUUAGAGCUUCCGAACACCGCGUAGAUCAGCGGCGGCACGAAACUCGAAUCUAUUACAACAAUCAUUUCGAAUCCGUAUGUAUGUUAUUAAUUAUUACUUUGUUAUUGUCAAAGUUUUCUAUAGGACGCGCCCUACGUGUGCAGUAUCAUAUAUAUGGCGGCAUUUCAAUAGCGUGACUUACAGAGGCCGAUGAUCGGCGGGAGGUUGGCGAGGCGGGCGUAGCUGAUGCCCUGGGGGAUGGCGAGGCUGGCGAUGGUGACGCCGGCGAGGAGGUCGUAGCGGAAAUUGGAGAGGGUGUACUUGGGGCCCCAUUCGAGGAUCGGGACAAAGUACUGGAGCACUCUGAAGACCCGGGCGCCGGCCGGGAGGUCGCCGAGCCCGCCGAAUGGGUUGUCGGGGAAGAAGGUCUCCGUAAGAUCGGAUUUCAGGGCUUUUGCGAACGGCCGCUUCGCCGACAGGUUGACCCACUGGUGGGGAUGCUGGUGAUGAUCUCCAGUUGUUGUUCCCAUGGAGGAGAGAGAAACAAGAGAGAGAGAGAGAGAGAGAGAGAGAGAGAGAGAGAGAGAUGGUUACGGAGAGGUGGGUGGUGUGGGGGUGUUGGGGUGGGAACGUAUGGGAUAUAUAUAGAAGGUGGAAAAUUGAUGGAGACCCCCUCAGAUAUUAUACAAUUUUGAAGGGUCCAUCGUAACUGUUUAAGUCUUUUUUUGGUUUUUUUUUCUAAAAAAAGAUUAUCAAAGUUAUUCAAAAUUUUAUCAUAUCUCAUAACAUACUUGGGACAUAUAAAUAAAUAAAUAAAUAAAUAUAUAUAUAUAUAUAUAUUUCAAAAUGGCACUUUAUCAAGGGGUGGGAGGUGGACACGUGGCCGUGAGAGGGAGGGGCAAACCCCGGAUUAGUAGAAGAGCGCGCGCGUUUCCCAGUAUAGGUUGAGAGAACCGGAUUUGGAUAAAUAUGGAUAAAGAGGGGGAGAGAAGGAUGAGAGGGGAUAACGCAUGACGUACGUCAUAAUGUACCCAAUAACGUCCCCAACGCUCACAAAUGUUUCACUCGUUUUGACGGAUAAGGAACCAAAAUUUUCAUUUCAUCCACACUUUAACCGACUAAAUUAUGGGCCACAUUCGAAUAAAUUUGCUUCUUUUGCCUAAAUUGUCUAAAGAAUCUAAUUUUCCUCCUAUAAAUUAUAUAUAUAUAUUAAAAAAUAAAAACGGUAUCUAUAGAUGAACGCAGAUAAUUUAAGCUGUUUGGUUCUCCAAAGUAAUGACAUAACUGUGAGAUGUCUAUCUUUGCAAAGUCUUAAUUUUACAGCAAGGCGAGCAGUGGUGGCCAUUUUGGGGUGUCUGAACCGAGACUCAUGACUCCAGCCCAUGACCAUCAAACUCAAAAACUUUCCAACUUCAGGCAUUUUUCCUUGAGUGAAUCCCCCCAAUAUCUACAAUCAUAAAUUCAAUUGAUCGAAGAGAGUUUUCCCUCUUGUGUAGCAACUUGGGACAGUGGCUCAGGACAUCUCUCUUUCAAGGAGGCAGCGGGGAUUCGACUUCCCCAGGGUGUAGGGUAAUUUGAAAGAAAGUUCUUAUUAUAGAUAUAAUUUGUGACGCCUCACUUCGCAGAGAGUCAUCCAUUCUAGUAUCAUUUUAGUCCUGACACACUUAACUUUCUUAAGCUUUUGGACCUAAAGGGUUAGCCACCGUCUAAAAUACUAUAGCCGAAAUGCUAUAGCCGGAUUAAAAGUUUUUAAUUCUAUUAUAUCUUAUAUAUAGGACUAUCUGGGAUCUCCCAUUAUUCCCAUUUUAAGUCUCGACAUCCUCAAAAAAAAAAGUCUCGACAUCCUCAUCAGGCUCAGACUCACAAAUACAAAAUGAUGUGAGAUUCGUCUCGCUAGCCUUAACCGACUUUAUGGAGGAGCCGCGCUCUACCCAUAACAGUCAUCAGCAUGAGAAUCUCGCUCUUCCCGCUGCAUAACUUGACUCAAUCGAGACUCAUCUCACACUACCGGCUGAUAAUUGGCUCUGAUACCAAUUGUAACGUCCCACUUCCCACUGAGUCACCUAUCCUAAUACUACUCUAGCCCUAACACGCUUAACUCUCUUAACUUAUUGAAACUAAUCGUCAUCCAAAAUAGUAUAACUGGGUUAAGAAUUUUUAGCCUCAUUAUAUCUUAUAUAACGACUAUCUAAGGUCUCAUAAUAAUUCUGUCCUCUUGAGAUCUUGCCUACCUCACUCUACAUAGCUAAAUUCAUAUACUUAGUUAAUGAAUGAAGCAGGUAGCAUACUACCCUUCUCUCAAAAAGAAUUCUGAAUAUAAAGUAUACGAUAUAAAUAGUUGUCACAUUUGAUCACCACUGAGAAUAAAAAUACCAAUACAUUAUUGGUCCUCAAACUAUGAGAUUCACGACGGUUUGAUCUCCAAACUUUAUUAAUACAUCACUGAUGCUGUAAUGAUAUGACAUCUUAAUUACAACUACUUAAUUCACCAAUCACAAUAUUAUCACAUCGCUAUUACAACAGUAAUGCGUUAUUAUCCAGUCAAUUUAAUUAGACAAAAUAACUUGAUUACAACAAUCCAAAACAUCACGCGCCUCAUAUUUUAAGAAUGGAAGUUGUAAUUUUGCCUCCUCCGGGAAAUAUCUACUACUGUUCUUACUCUAUCCCGCCUGAUUAUUACCCCCCAUAAUUAACACGUGGUUAAUUAUUCAAGUUCAACAAGUUCAAGAGAAAUGGGUACAGCACUAAUCGUACAUUAACAGUGAGACGCAGCACAAAAUCAACUCCCGGUGAAGGGCGUAACUGUGUUGGGGGAAUAACUUAUCCGGGGUAGGGAACUACUCAAGGCCCCAACAAAGGAGAGGAUGAUGAUAUGCACGCACAAACACAUACACAUAUACAUUGACAUUUAUAACAAAGAGGGAGAGAGAGAGAGAAAAGCAAUAAAGGAAGAGUAGUGUCCUGUAGUAGUGUUGUUUCGCAGGUUACGUCGCCUUCAUUUCAACUUUUGUGUUACAGUUGAAACAGGCAUGGUCUCCUGCUACUUGCUGUUCAAGUGGAAACUGACUCCAUUAUGGAGUUUUAUGCACAUCCAAGAGUCAUCCUUUGUGAAUGUUGAGAAAUUAUUAAUAAGUUAGCUUUCUGAUGCGUAGGUCUUAUUCGGACGUCAGUAUAAGAUAUCCAAACAAAAAUAUAAUAGUUAGUGAAAAUUUUACAGUUUAGGACUGACUACUACCCAAAAAAUAAUACACGGACUAAUAUUUGUCCAAGCAAUAAUCAUAAAAGCUAAACAUCCCCGUAUUAGACAGAAAUCAACCCAAAAAUCUAUUAGUUUGUCUCGGACGCUUGACCGCAUUAGAGACCUCCUGAACGCGUGGAAAGAACACUGCUGCUGCCCUUUCUCUUCUCGGUCUCUCUUUCCAUAUUGCCGCUAAACACCCCCGUUCUGUCAUUUUUCUUUUGUUUUUUUUUUAUGUUCUAUGUUUUAUAUUUUUUGCCUUGCAAUGGCUCUUUCUAGUUUCGAAGAUUCAACCACAUUGCUAAAUUCAUUUUUCCUAAUAAAUGAAACGAGUGGCCUGCUAUCUUUCUCUCGAGAAAAAAAUCAUGAAAGCUAAAUCGAUAACUAGUUUUUGCGUAUAUAUUUUAUAACGUAUUUAAAAUAUCAUUAAUAAGUCAGCUUUAUAUGUAUGUCACCGGAUAAACUACUUAUUAGUAAUUGGAAUAUGAAAAGUUAAACUUGUAGCUUGGUAUAUUUUGGGGCACAUGAAGCACUACUCAUCCAUGUGAAGUACUCAUCCACGGAAAGAAUCUAAAGAUUGACCUCUUUAUUGGACUAUGCAAUGGGGUCGAAGUUAUGUAAUUCCCUCUUCAGAAUAAGACACACUACCCUCCAAUAUUUAAAAACUAAAGAUCAUGACUAGCUAGAUGGCGAGUCUGAAGGAUUUUUAUACAUGAUAGCAAAAUGUUAUCUACCAAUGUCUCAUUUGAGGAAAUCAUUGCUUCUAGCUAAAAUCUUCUUUCGACCAUUGUCUUAUGUCCAACAAAGAUAGAAGCUAAGAAUAAUCCUCCUUAGCCUAGGGAUGUUGUACAUAUUUAUAUCGUUUUCUACAUCUAAAAAUCAUAUAACCUAUCCAAAUAAGAAAAAUGCUACAUGUACACUCCUUUAGAAUUUACUAAAAAAGAAAAAUUAAUAAGACAGGUGAGUUAGUUAAUACUGAAUACACAACACAAAAAAGUCUAUGAGUGUAGGUUUUACACUUACAGGUAAAGUGUAUGGUUAGCAUUACUCUGUAAAUAAUGGAGCUAACACUGUCAUAGAUAUAAAUAUCCAACAAGAUAGAUAUCCUUGUAUACAAAUCAAGUAGAGUUAAGAGUACAUGCUAAAGGAUCUUCCUAAAAAUAAAAGUUAAAUCAAGUAUGGGGACGACAAGUGCCACAUCCAAUUAACCAAGCUAAAUAAUUCAACACAGAAUAAUUUGUGUCAUUUAUCAAGCAUAAGAAGCAACAAGAAUAAAACUAGUAAUUAAAAAAACUAACUAAUGGUCUUAAAAGAUGAAAAAGAAAAAGGCUUGGGAUGUUCUUUCAACACAGCAUUGGCUUCUGAAAAGUGAAAUUACCCAUUAACAUAGCCUAACUGAAACCAAAAAGAAAGAUUUAUGAACAGCUUAUCAUGAAGAGCAUAUCCCAGAAAUUAAUAUGUAACUAAUCAGAAGCCCUUUAAUUUCUCUAUCUUAUCCCCAUCCCUUUGGGAGAAUAAAAAAAAAAGAAAAGAAAGAAAAAGUAAAUUCUCCCAGUUCCAAGAUACUUUGAAACACAUCUGGACUUCAUAUUGAUCCUUGCGUGGCAUAUAACUAUGUUUUUAUUUAAUUAUGAAAUAGCAGCAUAUUUGAUAGAGACAGAAAGAUAGAUAUAAGAGAACUAGAAAAUUAAGAUUGUGGCAAAAGAGAUAUCCACUUUUUACUCUUAACACACUUUUGGGCAUUGACUUUUGAACAGGAAACUAGAAAAGCAUGUCUAUCAUUUAGACUCUGUGAAUCUCAUAGCAUACUUUACCCAGGAAAAAUAUAUUUAUAUAAAUCUAAACAAAAAGAGAGACACUUUUCAGUGACUUUGUAAGAUAUCAUUUGUCACUCACAAAUAGCACCUCCCUCAAUUAACCAAACACUUCCCACCAAACCUUCCUAAAACUCUUUGUGGGAUUUGAUUGUUCAAUAGAGCACCCUUUCGGCUAUUAGACAUACCGGAGACUAGGGUAGUUGCAGUCACAUCAUAAGAUUUUCCUUGUGAAAGAUGUGAGCAAAUUCUACUGAGAAGGUUUCAUGUUCAGAUUUGAAAAUAUGGAUCGAGCUAGAAUGAGAAGAUAACAUAAUAAGAAUUAUUAACACAUGGUUAUUUACCUAGUCCAAAUUCCUUUCCAGCAGUUGCUGAUGUCGCUGUAAUUAGAGCUAUCAAAGACCUUAUCAGGUUUGGUCAAUCAAUAUCAUUAGAACGCGUCUCACCGCGUCUAACGUAGACUGCAACAAAAGAAUGGCUUUCAUGAGGGUACGUCCUUCUGCACACGCCGAUGCUCUCAAACAAAGCCAAAGUAACAAUGUUAUUCAAUCAAGCUCAAUCAAUUCAGAAGCAUUUAUCAUUGACUACAAUCCGAAUUGGGACAUUUCAUGCUUAAUACUAUCACCAAUGAGCCACUAUUGGGCAAAGAUACGAUCGAAAUUUUGCAAACAAAACGUCAUCCUCUAUUAAAUUUAGUCACAAAGAGAAAGAAAAGAAGACCAUUAAGAGAAGGUUGGUGGAUCAGAAUCCUAUUGUUUCCCGUUUCAAAUAUACGAAAGCAGCAAUCAAGUAUAGGAUAAAAGGUGACCAAAACAAUUACGCAAGCGAAUCCGCUACACCGCCACGCCAAACAUGCCAGGAUUUUCUUAGGUUAGAAAUCUAAUCUACCUUUACUAAUUAUCUCCUAGUGAAAUAAUCCCUUGUCAGCGUAAUUUGCUCUUAACAACUGUGUCAAAACAAUAAAAAUUAGGAUAGAGUAAAAGGACUACCUGCAACAUUAGAGUGAGGAAAAUCAACUGAGUUCUAGAAAUUGAGAUAUCAUUUGAAGCCAAAGAAAGUUAGAUCGAAAGGAACGCCUGCGCUGGAACGGCAUCGUUGCAAUGUCGAGGAUAGGCUAACGAUUUGCAUGCAAUCUCAAGAGAGUAAGUAUCAAAGGACAAGAAAGUAAGAAAUCCAAUGAAUUAAAAAGGAGAUGAAAAUUGUUUACUCGAAUGUUUAGUUUGUACAUGGUUUAAUAUUUCAGAGUUGUGAAAUACGCUGGAGUGGCGACUAAAUGACCAAACCUGGGCCUAAAAUACUUGGGGGCUGAACCUGGUUGCGACGUGGAACACUUAUUGAGGAUACGGUCCUCUGCAGCAAAAUUACGGGUCAUCGACGAAAAUGCACUAUCCUGGGUUACGAGAAGUACGGAAACCGAAAAAGAACAUUCUCAUGCUUGAUGUAGGCUGCAGAGUUUCUAGAAGUCUCAGGAAGCACCAAGCCUUGACGCCUCUACCUCAAAUUUAAUACUAGGUAUAAUUCGAUUCUGCAAUCCCUGCACUUUUUAAGCGAUUUACAGUACAUGAAUUUUCUUAAAAUAAAUUGAGAGAAUGUAUCAAGUCUUUCGUGUUUUUCACACCAGAAACGAAGUAGAAUUUUUCCUUCGAUAAAUCUAAUUGGAAAUACCUGUUUAACUGCUCGAACUUGGCGCAACCAAAAGGUAUGAAGCCCCAAGUAUGCCAUUAAAACACCACUCGAAAGCUGCUUAAAUUACAAAUAAAUUUAGAAAAAGUCGGGACGCACGUAAUCUUAAGAAAACGAAGAUUCACGCAAAUCUAUUUGUCAAAAACAAGAAAAUGAAACUGAUUCUCAUUGUACGAAUCAUAUAUAUUUUCAAAGCUUUUUUUUUUUUUGAGAAAAAGAUAGCAAGCUACCUGCUUCAUUCAUAAAGUGGGAUGAAUUAAGCGUACAGGGUGGAAGCGACAAUGGCCUCCGAAAAUGGCAAAAGAAGAAAACAGAGAUAAAGGAAAGGAAGAAAAGAAAGAAGGUGAGAAUAGGAAGAGAGGGUGGGGGGUUUAGCUAGGUGAAGAGCGAGGUCGGGUCAGUAUACUCCGGUCACGAAUCAUACUGUUGAUGCGUACAACCGAUUGGACAGCGUUUGGGGGUGUGUCUCGAAAGAUGACAGAAUUUCUAUCUGACCAGACUGCCCAUCAGGUUGCCACCAGGUGAGUUAACCCUUUGAAUUUCUUCGCAGCGUUAGGGGUUUCCGAUACUUUGGUCCAAAGCUCGCACGCCGCUCCCGUGGAAUCAGGAAGAUCAUCGAGGUCCACCAUAGAGAGUAAGAGGAAGCGAACAAAUAUGCAGUUAGCGAAGAGAUGGUCACAACUUUCUGGGAGGACCCCACAUAGCACACAGAGCGGAUCUACGGACAUGCCUCUGGUGAGCAGCCUGUCAGUAGUGAGUAAUCUCUUUCGAAGCAACGUCCAGAUGAAUAUCUUAAUUUUGGUUGGUAUCUUCAAGGUCCAGAUAUGCUGAUUCCACCGAUCUCUACAUCCGCCGUCUGUGAUGAACUGGUAAUGGGAUUUAACUGAAAACAGAUGGUUGGUGGUCCAUCGCCAUCAGAACGAAUCUUGGCUGUUGCACGGGUGGCUACUUUGGUCCAAACAGAUGGUCGGGUCAGUAUAUAUUUUCAAAGCUAAGGCACUAAAACAAGUAUCUAGCUAAAUAACCGACCGUCCCUAGCACAAGUAGCAAAGGACUUGGUAGUAUCCGAAAUCCCAAAUUCGAAUCCUAGUUGAGUCACAUUUUCAGCUAAGUUUAUUUCUAAAAGAAAUAAACGAAACGUACAGCAUGCUACCUAUCUCUCAAAAAAAAGAAAGAAAGAGUAUAUCCAGCUAAAUAAGAGUUAGAUAGUAUCACAGUACUGCUGAAAUAGAUAGCAAAGAAGUUAACUCAAAUGUGACACAUGUAUUCAGCAAUUAUCCUGAUGAUUCAAAUUUCUGAAGCAAAUCCAAAAAGUCACACUGGACUCCCCUCAUAUUAUGACAAGUGUUUGACUCGAGAAACUCAAGCUGCUACAGAACAGUAUUUUAAUUAUUUAUAUCCAAUGCUUUCCCUCGCGGAUAGGAAAAAAUUUACUAAAACUAGCAACUUAUUGGAAUUCGAACUCAGAACCUUCUAUGGAUUCCAUAUGAAACAAUCAUUUGUCUCUAUAAUCUUACCCUUACUUUCACAAGCAAGAUUAAUCUCAAAUGGAACAAAUUUUAAAAAUAUAUAUAUAUAAAAAAUCCUGUACCUUUUUCUCAAGUCACGAACAUAUCCACUGUAGUCAAUGGCUGAAUCAGCUAUCACUCGGAUUUCCACAAAUCACUACAAAGAUUUUAAAUAUAUAUAUAUAUAGAUUAAAAAGAGAGAAAAAGGAGGAGAUAAACUCUGUUAGUAUAAUCGUUUACGGAGCGCAGCAAAAGAAGAACUCGAACUGUAUCAACAAAUAAUAUAUGAAAAUAUAAAUGUAAAACUCAAAAAAAUAAAGAAAAAAAAAAAGGGGGAACCUCACAAAUCACAAUCGCGUUUCUCAACGACGCAUCCUCUCCCUCCCCCACGGGUCUACGACGAUGGAUGCUUAAUUUGUAUACUCCUACGUCACUACGCCCUAUUUGGGCCUAAUCAUGGGCCUGGCCCCAAAAAGCGAUUCGGCUCUUUCGGAUCCUGUUAUACCCGAAAUUAUUUCGGGCCGGAUCCAAAUUGUUUGGGCUCUACCGGGUACGUUCCACACUUCCACCAAAUGAAUACAGAAAGGAAAAUAGCAAAAUUAUCGCAUGCACCAGGUGCACCGUGCACCCCUCGCCAAAGAGCCCACAAUGGAGGUCCCAAAACUCAUAAUUUACUUUGUUGAAUGUAUUAUAUAGGUUUCGUUUGAGAUUGCGGAGAGAUUACGUUAUGUACAGUAAAAAAGUAAAAUGGAAAAAAUACUCUAUUUAUUUUCGUACAUAAUAUUGCGUUUCACAUAUCGCGAUGAGUCGAUUAUGAUAUUUUUUUGCUGUCCCACUGUAAAAUGUACAAACAUAUUCUUAUAUGCAUUUAUCCUAACUCCACUUUAUCUAAUAGCGUUAAAUGGACCUCAAUAUCAAAUAAGCCUUAGUUGAUAUAUAAAACAUUUGCAUACCAAAAUUAAAAAAUUAUACAGGAUUUUUUUUUUAUUAUUUUUUUGAGAAAGAUGUAGCACGUUACCCGCUUCAUUCAUUGGGAAUAUGAACUAGACUGCAGGGGUGAGGCAGCUAAGACCUCGAGGGGGGGUUAAAAAAAAAAAAAAAAAAAAAACUUAAGAGGUCCGCCUUGCUAGGAUAAGGAGGUCCCACUCCCUCAUCAGCUGCUUAAACAAGUGAGUUACGUGCAUCGGGUUCGGUUGAAUAUUUCUAAAAAUGGUCUCAUUUCUUAUCUUCCAAACGGACCACCAGCAUCCUACUAAUUCGGAGAGGCAGCUUCUUGUCGUGUGUCCUCCUUUCCUAACCCUCCACGUUGCCCAGACUCGAUUUACGUCACUUCCCAGGUCCCUCGCCUGUAUGCCGUUCACUCCUAUCACGAUAAUAAACUUAGUAAAAACACACCUCGUGAACAGAUGAUCCACGGAUUCAUCCUUCGCUCCACAAAGUGCACAAGUGGUAUUUCCCGCCCACCCACGCUUCACCAGAAGAUCGGUUGUAGGGAGCCUUUUCUUCAGAGCGAGCCAACAAAACACUUUAACUUUCAGGGGAAUAUAGAGUUUCCAGAUCGUAUCAAGGCCCAGAUCCCUUGUUCCCCCAUCUGUCAACGCUAGAUAAAUUGAUUUCACCGAGAAGAGUCCGUUAGGUCUCCAUUGCCAAGUUAAUUGGUCCGGGCUUUGAAGAAUAGUGAAGUGGGAAAUCCUAUCCUUGAGCUCUGUAAUGUCGUCAUCCAUCCCUACAAGGAUUUCGGGGUCAGUGCCGAAAAUCCUAUCCCAGUUCCAACCGUCGGCUGCUAAGGCAUCGUCGACCUUCAAAUUGUUUCGGUUAGAUGCUUGGUAGAUCGUCGGGAGCGCUCUGCCUAGUGUGGUUUCCCCACACCAGCAAUCUAGCCAAAAAUCGAUAAAGUGCCCAUUGCCUAGUUUGUAAUUGGCGCCCCAUUGGAAUUUUUUUUUUAUUAUUUCUACGAAUCGGACAAUGUCAUUUUCUAUUCUAUUUUGUCCACUUUCGAAGCUACAAGGUACGUACAUAGGUGAUGAAUUUUCAAAACUUGUAACUUUUUCUAAAUAGAUAAGUCUUUAAAUUUUCUAAAUCAUGCCAGUCAGAUUAUAUUUGAAUUUUAAAAAAUUAAGUUUCAACUACCGAGCACGAUGCAUGAAGUACAAUAUAUACCAAACGCAAACAAAUAACUUUAUACAAAGGAGUACAACAUGAUCUGGCUGAUUAUUGGCGCAAAUCAUGAAUUCUAAAAAUUCGAGCCGUCAGAAAAAUAUAAUUAAUUAACUUAAAAUGUAUAGACAUAACGCUCAUGAAUCUCGAUUAUAAUUCAGCUCAACCAGUCUCACACCACUUUGAACAUAACUUAACACAGUUUUUCGCUACAAGGAAGGAUGAUGACUCUUUUAAGCCAACACCCUAAGCUACUACUAAGCUCAUUAAUUUCUGCACAAGGGAUUGAUCUCGCUGCUCACUAAAAUAAAUUUAAUCUCGUGCAUAAGCUUGUAAAAAAUAUAGUCUUAUAUAGAUUUGGGUCUGACAUAUAAAUCCUAUUGAGGCGGGAUAAUAUCUCCACUUAGAGGCUGUUUGGUUUCCGUAAAAUGGCCCCGAAAAAAAAAUUUUAGUGGAAAAGUGCGAUUCUAAACGUUUGUUUGUCCGUAAAAAAAAAAAUUUUCCCGAAUACAAGGAAAACAGAGGUUUUCGUUUUCUGCUCACAAAGAGCGGAAAACGAAAACUGGGUUAGGAGGGGCGGGGUUCACAAGGGGCAAGGUCACGAGGCACACUCCACCUCGUGGACCGCGAGAGAGAGGUCCACCGGUUGCGGUGGACCUCUCUCUCCCAUCUUUUUUUUUAUAUAUAUUAAUAAUAGAUAUCAUAUUUAUUAGAGUCUGACUCUAUGUAUUAUAGCACGAGCCACUUGGUGUACCUAAGUUUUCACUGCCGUUAGAUUACCAUUUGAUCAUUUUAUCAUGUUAAGAUUUACUAGUCAAACCACUCAUCAACUAAGGGCCAACAUCAUCCUAAAGCAUAUCUUAUAAUCAUGGCCAAAAAACUUGGUAGGACCAACGACUUGGUGCUAUUAAUUAGCAUGUAGCAUAGUUUGUAUAUUACUAAAUAUAUAUAUAUAUUAUAUUAUAUAUAAUAUACUACUAUAUAUAUAAUAUUUAUAUAUAUAUAUAUUUAAAAUAAAUUUAUUUUAUAAUGAUAUUUAUUAUUAUAAUAUUUUAUAUGUAGUAAUUAAUAUAUUAUAUAAUUUAAUUAAUUGCAUAAUAUAUUUUAAAUAUAUUUUAUUUAUAAAUAUAAACUAUAAUACUAAUAUAUAGAAUAUGAUAAUAAUUAUAUAUUAAUAAUAUAAAAUAUGAAAAAUAAAAAAUAUAUAUAAUAAUUUUUAUUUAUAAUUUUUUUCUUUUCAACCAAACAACCAUCUCGAAAAAUUACUUUUCUUUUCCUACGAACCAAACAUAAACAACGUAAAAUAUUUUUUCCACCGAAAACUUUUUUUUCACAGAAAAUUUUUUUUCCACAGUUUUACGUGGAACCAAACACACCCUUAGCUUUAGAUUUUUUUCAAAUUCCAAAAAUAUAAAGGAUUGUUUUUUCUUUUAUUUUCUAUUCUAUAGAAUAGAAUAAGGCUUCAUUUGUGAUUACAGAAAGAUUGCAUUACGUGCGAUGAGAAAAUACCCUUUUUUUUCGUACGUAAUAUUGCGUUACACAUAUCGCGAUGAGUCGGUUACGAUAUAUUUUCUGCGGUCCCAUCGGAGAACGCAGAAGCAUAUCUCUAUAUAUUUUUUUCUCAACUCCAUUUUAUCUAAUAACGUUAGAUAGAUCUCAAUACCAAACUAAGCCUAAGAGCUUUUUCUGAAACACAAUUCCGAAAAUAAAAGAGUGAUUUAAAAAAGAAUCAAUAGUCUAAAAUUUUAAAUAUUAAAAGAGAAGAUUUUUUAAAUUAUUAUGGCGAGGCGAAUGCGACAUUGGAGCUAUCACUACGUCUCAUUCGAUAUAAAUAUAUUUUGUGGCCAAAGUCGGUGUAAAUCAACUUUAGAGAUUUUGGAAUAAGACAUGUUACAACGCGCAAGCAAAGCUUCUUUACGAGUGAAUUGACAUGUGUAAAUUUUGCACCGCAGGUUUGAAUUUAACGGCUACGAGGCUGACGUGGCUGGACAACGAAUUGUGGACCGUAUUUUUUUAGACCAAGGCUACGGCCUACGUGCCUACAUAGCUUACGCUAUUGCACGUGUCACAAAUAUGGGCUAACUGUUCAUACAUUUGCUCCACUUGUACACAAUCAUUAAUUUGAGACAUUAUUAUGACUCUUUGUUUUAUUCUAUUGAAUUAAGAAUUUAUUUUGCGUCUAAAUCGCAAUUUAGUUUAUGCGUCCUAACACACGUACGUCAUGUGGACGGAUUACCCGAGCAAUUAAUUAAAGAGCCUAAUCUAAAAAUGGUGAGCAAUACGUUGUUAUAUACAUUUGGUCUACGGAUUUGAGUUCCUAUAGAAGUUUUGAAUCGUCUAAGAAAAGCUGUUUUUGAGUACCCAUAUAAUUAACCUAGGCUCAUAGCUCUAUUCGGCUUUCUCUCAAUAUAGAAAUGAGAAUUUCAUAAGUGUAAUAAAACUCAUGAUUUGAUCAUCUAACUUAAUUAGUACUCUCUUAUGUUAGCGAGUCAUGACAUGUGGGGUUAUUACCUGUAAAUAAAUAAAGAUAAUAACACAUUUACAAGACCACGACAAAUUAAAAAGCAAAAAAAUUCUCUGCAACUAUUUUUUUUUUUUUUUUUUGAGAAAUAGAUAGCUCGCUACCCGCUUCAUUUAUUAGGAAAAUGAACUAGGCUUAUAUAAUAGAGACAGCCAGGGCCUCCGAAGGAAGAGAAAACGACAAAAGUGAGAAAAUGGACGAAAACAAAGACAAAGGAAAGAAAAACGGAAGCGAAGAAGCAUAUCCUGAAAAACCGAAGUAAUCAAUGUGGAGCGGUCCUAGUGUCCAACAAAAGCUUAAUCCGAUCCAGACACCGGGUAGGGUUGGGGGCACUGUUUCGAAAGAUUAUAGCAUUCAUUUCUAUCCAAACUACCCACCAGAUGGAGAGAGGGUUGAGAGAGAAAAAAGUCUCUCGAAAGAUUAUAGCAUUCCUUUCCAUCCAAAUAAAUAAAGAUUAUAGCAUUCCUUUUCAUACCAUGAUGACAAUCAUGACAUGCCAUGAAUCCUAAAAGAUAUAAAUCAUCUGCGUUAUACUAUUAUUUAACUAUCCAAGAGUCUGCUUCGUAUUAUAGGUCUAUUUAAUACUAAUAAUCAAAGCAGAAUUGGAAUGAAAAUAUAUAUACAAAGAUAUGUCUCUUUAUUUCUUAAUGAAAUUAUAAAAAUAUUUCGUAACUAAUUAAAUAUGGUGUACGAAGCAUAAUAAUUAUAUAUAAAAUAAUUUAUUUUUUUAUCGUACUUCUCACAAUGCAUAACGUAAUUUUUUUUUUUUCGUUCUCAAUCUCAAAUUGAGCGUAAUCAUCUAUAAUCUAUAAACUCUAUUAAUCCCCAUUCCUAUUUGCCACGUGUCCAGUUUAUCUUAAUCCAUGCCAUGUCAGCAUGCCACUUCAGAUCCCAUUCGUUCCUACGCCCCCGCCUCUUCGAUCGUUCCCCGAUUCCCACCGCUUUGAUCCUCCCUGCCUCUUCGAACCCUCCUCCAAACCGCCGCUUCGAUCCCUCCUCUGCCUCUUCAAUCCUUCCUCCGCCUCUUCGAUCUCUCUCUACGCUUCAUAUCCCUCAUUCUCUCGCGUCCCCGCCUCCUUCCCCUGUCGCCCCGCAGGGCACGGAGGUCCGGCAGAUCCGCACCGAACUCUCUUAGAUCUCUUUCCGAUUUGAAAGGAUCUUCUUCUCCUCCUCCCCCUCGCCAUCACGCAAUCGAUCGGAGGAGCUCGCAGGCCCCUGCGCUCUCACCCCAACGCUCGCGCCCUGUUCGACGAAAUGCCGAGGCGAUUGCAGGGCGCUUCGCAGGCAUCAGAGAGGUGGGGCUCGGUGCUGGGAUUGUGGUAAACGUUAUUCCUCCGCCUCUUCGAUCUCUCUCUACGCUUCAUAUCCCUCAUUCUCUCACGUCCCCCUGCAGAUCCGCGCCGAACUCUCUCAGAUCUCUUUCUGAUCUGAAAGGAUCUUCUUCUCCUCCUCCCCUCGCCAUCACGCGAUCGAUCGGAGGAGCUCGCAGGCCCCUGUGCCCUCUCCCCAACGCUCGCGCCCUGUUCGACGAAAUGCCGAGGUGAUUGCAGGGCGCUUCGCAGGCAUCGGAGAGGUGGGGCUCGGCGCUGGGAUGGUGGUGAAUGUUAUUCCUUUACAUAUAUAUGUCUGAUCAUGUAAAUAGAGGUAUAAAUUAGCAACUCUAGGUAAAACUCUUUCCUUUCCCCUUUCCUGCAUCAUGGUUUAGUUCAUACCAUUUGAUGAUAUUAUAAGCUAAAAAUCAGAAGUAAUUGACAGUAAUCAAUAUUAUGUAUUGAAUUCAUUCUAUAAGGUAUCCGAACACUCCUGGGAUUUGGACGAAGGAGCAAGUGGAAGCGUGGAAGCCCAUUGUAGAUACGGUUCAUGAGAAGGGAGGUGUCUUCUUUUGCCAGAUUUGGCAUGUGGGGCGAGUUUCAAACUAUGGUAUUCUCUUUUUCAAUUUCUCAUUAGAUGUUUAGUUUUAGUUUGUAGAUAAUGUCGUCCGUGGAGAUAAUAGGUAUUCAUUUAGUUUUACUUCAAUAACCUGUUUUAGUGAGUAUCUUUACUCUGAAAACUGUUAAAAGAAUGCUAAAGAUUGAAUGUAGUUGCUGCUUAUAAAACACUCAUGCCAACUACAAAUAGACUAUAUUGCAGGAAACUUCCUUAUAAAUAUUGAAACUUUUAUUUUGCCCUGUAAAGUAGAGAAAUCUAUAUAUCAACCACUGUAAAAGUUCUAGCGGGAUAAAUAGGUGUGCUGAGUUUGUAGGAUGGAUUGAGAAAAUUGCUAUUUAUGGGGUCAUUUCCUGCAUUAUGAUGAUGUGGUUAUAAAUUGCUUCGAAUUCUUAUAUGCGGUGGAAGGAAAGUGCAAAUCAAGAAUGGUCCUGCAGAGGUUUUUCUCCUUUUAAUGCGCUGAUUCUCUGUUUCAGAAUUUCAGCCUAAUGGCCAACCUCCAAUUUCGUGCACCGACAGGCCAGUGGCACCUCAAGUGCGAGCGAAUGGCAUCGACGUCGCUAAAUUCGCCCCUCCAAGGCGAUUAUCAACAGAGGAGAUCCCUUUAAUUGUCAACGAUUUCAGAGUUGCUGCUAGAAACGCUAUCGAAGCUGGUAAAUGUUCUUCUAACCCAGCUACCACUCUUUUGAGUCAGUGUGAUAUAUAUCCAAAAUGAAGUUGUUAUAUCGGACGACUUGGUAUCUUGGAUUGGUAGUUCAGUGCAUUUUUUCGUUUGUAAAAAUACCUUCUAAAGGCGUUCUGCUGAGGGUUUUGGAAUUUAAGUUCUUAGAUCAAGAAAACAUGACAUGUUCUUGGGAACGGGCUUCAAACUGAAACGGGUAUCAUCGCUUAUCAUUGAUGCAAGUUGGAUUGUUUAGAUAAAAAUAUGGUAACACUUUAUCUUUUGUUUAAUCUUAUUGAUUCUGCUCAUUCUUUUGCUCUUUAAAUUGAUUCAGUUAAAUGAAAUAGUCGACGAAAUCGGGGCUGAUAAUGUCGGAAUGAGGCUCUCUCCUUAUGCUAACUAUAUGGAAUCCGGAGAUUCAGAUCCCGAUGCUCUCGGCCUCUACAUGGUGAAUUCUCUGAACAAAUUUGGAAUUUUGUAUUGCCACAUGGUGGAGCCAAGAAUGGUGAAAGUAGGCGAAAAGGUCGAAACUCCUCAUANGGAAUGAGGCUCUCUCCUUAUGCUAACUAUAUGGAAUCCGGAGAUUCAGAUCCCGAUGCUCUCGUCCUCUACAUGGUGAAUUCUCUGAACAAAUUUGGAAUUUUGUAUUGCCACAUGGUGGAGCCAAGAAUGGUGAAAGUAGGCGAAAAGGUCGAAACUCCUCAUAAUCUGCUACCUAUGAGGAAUGCUUUUAGGGGAACAUUUAUCGUCGCAGAGGGCUAUAAUAGAGAAGAAGGGAAUAAGGCUAUUUCAAGUGGGUAUGCUGAUUUGGUCGCAUACGGGCGUGUGUUUUUGGCUAAUCCCGACCAGCCUCGGAGGUUUGAACUAGAUGCUCCUCUUAAUAGAUAUAUUAGAGAUACUUUUUACAUUCCUAAUCCUGUUAUCGGCUACACAGAUUACCCAUUUCUUCAAUCAGAUGCACAGAAAGAGUCUUAAGCCAACAUGAUAUUUGAAUACCAAUUACUAUUGUCCAAAGUAUUUCAUAACUGAACAACUAUUGAAUACUAUAUAUGAUCAUUAGACUUCAAUUCUACAAUAGUAUGUAUUAUUAAUUACUGAUCAUAAGCUCAUAUAUAGAUCUAUAUAUCAUGCUCCUUAUGCUAAAUAAGUCGCACCUUCUCUACCGCAGAAGGCUCUUUGAAGGGGUAUUCUGUAUUUUCUGCAGCUAACACUCCAUUUGGCGCCAAAUCUAAAUAGAAUUCAAUGGAAUUCAGUUGAGAAGAAUUCAAUUGAAUUCAUUUAGAAAUGAAACUUUUUGUUUUGAUUAAAAUGGAUAAGAAAUCAUUUCAACGUAAUCAUUUUUCCUAUUCCAUCCUCAGUUAUGUAGUAAGAAAGAUGCUGCAACUAAUUUAAGAAGGGGCAUUCUGGAGGGAUAUCUAUAAAGUAAGUUUAACAGCAAACAAAUUCUCAUCAAAUUUGAUCAUUUGCAUUAUGAGAAAUCCCGCCAAAUCCUUCCAAAUGAAUUGAAUUCCUAUUGACUGACCAAAUUAGAAUUCCAACUCUUUAGAAUUCUAGGAUUUGGGACAGCCCAACUGGGUGUAAAGAAAAAAAAAAGAAAAGGUAAAAUAGAACUUACUACAGUUUUCUUUCUGCUACUAUACAAACUUAUUCGACUUAAAAUCUGGAAGCCCUCAAAUUGAUCUCCGUCAUCAAUGAUAAGCUAAUUAUGCUUCGUAUCUGUUGACCUCUUUUCUUUUUCUUUAUUUUUCUUUUUUUUUUUCUGCAGAAUUUUUUGGUACAAAUUUGCUAAUGAUAAGCUAAUGUCUCUUAUUUGUUUUUUCUUUCUAUCUAUACACAAUCAUACCAUACUUAUAUGCUGUUUCAUAUCCCUGCUUUGUUACCAUGCAUGCGAAUUAGUAUCGGUAUGUCAUUAUUUGAGGUAAAAACUCUAGAUGGUAAAAAUUAGAUAGCAUUAUUUUGUUAUAACCAUCCGCAGGCAACUCAACUCGAGAUAUUUGUUUUCUCAAUUCUUCCUCUGAUUGUUCGACUGUUCUUUUUGAAAGAAGUUGGAUAGUGUGUGAAACGGUGAGGCUGCAAUUGUUCACCGCCGAAGAUCGUCGAAUAACUUGCUUAUCUCAGAUCAUUAUGAAAAAGUGUUUUAUAAUGGAUUGGUGAACCUGGUGUUUAUUUUUUUAAGUUUUUUUUUUUAUUUUCUCAAAAUUUUACUGUGACAUUCCAUGUUCUUCGUAGUGUUGGUUAAGUGCAUUAUACAAGUUGCAGUUCUCAUGGUUUAAGAUCCUUAUUGAUUGAUGUCAACCCGAGAAAUUUUUUUUUUUUUUCUUUUGAGAGUAAGUAUUACUUUUUUAGAAAUAAGUUUAGUUGGAAAUGUGAAGCAAUUAGAUUUCGAACUUACCUAAGAAUAAUCAUAAUCAUCCAAAAGCAAUAGUAGGAAAAGAUUUAAAGAUUUUGCAGCAACUGUGGAAGGAGAGAUGAUUUGCACCGGUAUGCAUAGUGUGUGUGCAGCGCAAGUUAUUUAUAUAUGUCUCUUCAAAAAAUUGUUAAAUAUUCAGAUUUUUCUAUUAUUUUUGUUAUUCUGCUUUUGCUAUCAGUUAUAUUUAUUCUUCUUUUUCCGUAAGUAUUUUAUUAUAAAUUUGAAUUUACAUUUGCUGGUGAUUUUUCUGCUAUUUUUUAGAUUUUCUGCCUAAUAAUUUAAACGAGACAAUUUAUCUUUCUAAGAGUCUAUUUUAUAUUAUGAAAUAAUAGUGAAUGAGUAUAUUACUAUCUAAACAUUUCUUUUCACAGUUUUCACUCAAUAUUUUUAGUUUGCUUUAUAUUUUGCCGGCCGCAUCGUGCGGGUUACUACACUAGUAUUGAAUUAAAGUUGUUUACAGCAUAAUCAACAUGUUUAUAAUUAAUCAAACUUUACAUCAACUGUACAUAUUUAUUGAAUCAUUUGAUACAACAAAUUCGUUUUGGAUAAAGAAUAAAGGAAACGAAUGAAUUAUCUGCUCAAUUUAUUGCCUAAAGUAGCUAGGGGAAAAAAAAAGAACAAGUAAUACACAAGCUAUACGUGCAUGCAUGAAUCUCACGUCCAAGUAGUGAUAUUAACAAUGCUAAUGAACGAAGUAGGUGACGAGGAGCGCAACGUGCAUGAGAACAUAAGCAAUCCCUUGAUCGAUCGCGUUGCUGUCGAUCCGAUGUUUUGGUACCACCACUGCCGCCGCCGCCGCCGCAGCCUCCGCGUGGCCGUGCGCGAGCUGCGUGAACCCCGACAUGAACGCAACCGCGAUGAUGAACAGCGCGUACGCCCUCAUCGAACUCAUAUUCCAAUAUAUCUCAAGAAUUACUAAAGCUUAUAUAUAGUUUUGAAGCUCAGCGCGAGGAUUAAUGGAGAGGGAGGAGUAGUAGUUGUUAUUGUGGUGGUGGUGGAGAGGGGUUGGUACGUCGUAGAGGGUGUAUUUAUAGUAAUAUAUUUUGUUUUGUUUUUCUUAUUUAUUUUUAUGGAUUUUUUUUGAAAAAAAAUAAAUUAAGGAAUGUGUUUGGGAUUGGAGUGAGGGAUACGAAGUAGGGAUCUGCCGGCCGUUGACUGGAGGAAUUAACGCGGACGGCAGGAAGCGCGGGAGAAAGUAGGGGCGGGCAGUCCUAGGAACGCAAGAGGGACGAAGUGGGAAAUUAAAAUUUGGGAGCGGACCAUAAUUUAAAGUGGGUGAAUUUUAAAUAUUACUUAUGUGGUUUCGUAUUUUUUUUAUUUUACUAUUCCGUGAUUUAAAAGUGUGUCAAUUUAGUAUUCUGUGAUUUUAACGUUUUUUUUUGUCGUUCCCUCUUCGUUAACUUUUCGCUAAAUCAUAUACAAGAAACUUCAGAUACUCUACCUAUAGUUUAUCAAAUAUUCACUUCAGUACCUUUUAGUUUUAACUUUAUUACUGAUUUAAUGAAAAAAAAUUAGUAGAGAGGAUAACAAAAAAAUAAAAAAAUAAAAUCAUAGAAUAUGAAAGUGAUAGAUUUCAAACCACAGGGUACUAAAGUAAGAAAGUGCAAAAUCAGAGUGGUAUUUAAAGUUUUUUAAUUUAAAAUUUGAUAGGCAAAAAUUCGAUCUCAGAUAAUAAGAAAAAGAGUUCGUUGGAUUCGCUGGGCGUCGACAAUGUGCUCAAAGAGAGGAGUAGAGCUAGAGGCGGUGAAGGGGAUGGGCCGAAGCCUGAAGGGUCCAAACGAAAAAUUUGGCGCACAAGAUUCUAAAAGAAAAUUUUCAAGUUGGCCCCUUAAAACUAAAAUUUAUGGUGUAUGAAUAUACAGAUGAAUAAGGUGCAUGCAAUAAUUUGUAUUUUGAGACAGUAUCAAGAUGAAAUAAUUAUAUUGAAGGUAUAGGGACUAAAUCAAAAUUUUGUUGAAGCUUCAGGGUCGGAAACAUUGAAAUUAAAAGUUUGAUGAUCAAAAUGAAAUAUGAUUUGAAGUUUAGGGACUACUAACUGACUGUCCCUAUAGCAAGUGGCAAAAAGCUUGGUGGUUGGUAGCUGAGGUCUAAAGUUCGAAUUCUAGUUGAUUCAUAUUUCUAGCUAAAUUUAUUUUAAAUGAAAUAAACGUAACAAAGCCAAUUAGGGGAAAAAGAAACAGAAAAAAUAAUAAAAAAUUAACUACAUAUUGUAUCUUUUUUUGUUCAUUUCAUGUGCUAGUGUGAAAAACCUAUAACUCCAAAGUUAUUCGUUUUCGAUCACAAAUUAACAACAGUAAAACAUAAUUUUUAUCCGAACUUUAAUUAAUUUUUUUUAACUUGACAAUGAACUACAUGCAAACAAAUAGGAUAAAACUAAGGAAAGUUUUUAUAUACUGCUAAUACAAUUGAGAAAAACUCAAUUAUCUAUUAAACUAUAUGAAUUCUCAAUGUUUGUUGCCACAUGGCAAGUUUUUCUUCACUCUCACUAACAUGUGACUCUUCUUCUUUCCAUUACUAAAUUUUCAAUAUGCAUUUUAACGGUCCCAUUAACCAAACUUUUAAUUAGUGUAUUUAAAUGAUUCCACUACCUUCCCUCCACUAUACUUUCAAUUAAUAUAAAUGGUUUCACUAACAAACUUUCAAUUAGUAUAUUUAAAUUGUCCUACUACUAUCUACGAUCCUAAUCUCUCUAUCUCCAAUUAUUCAUCAUGUUCACUAAAUUUUCAAUAUGCAUUUUAAGUGUCCCAUUAAUCAAACUUUCAAUUAGUGCAUUUUAAUGGUCCAACUACCUUCCCUUCACUAUACUUUUAAUUAAUGUAAAUGAUUUCACUACCAAACUUUCAAUUAGUAUAUUUAAAUGGUCAUACUACUAUCUACGAUCCUAAUCUCUCUAUCUCCAAUUUUUCAUCAUAGCCCAUUUUCCUCCUACCGAACUUUUAAUUUUUUAUCACCGAUUUGUUCAUUAAUUUUCUAUCUCUCAUCUUUAGCUAUACACUAUCGCCUCCUUCCCUCGCUCCCUCUCUCUCUCUCACUAAUGUGCGCCCAAUUCCUUCUUCCGCCGCGGUAGGAGAGAUCGUCGUCACCGUCACUAUCACCUUCGCCAGAGAAUGCAUCGUCAGGUUCAUAUCUGCCGCCUACAGUGAGAUACUUUCGGUAGAUGUAUCAAAUAAGAUACACAAAAGAAUAUUUAAUAUUUUAUUGUUAUUAAUUAUUAUUAAGGUUUCUACCCGCUGCGAAGCGCGGGUGUUUUUCCUAGUUAAUCUAUAAAAUGGAUAAAAAAUGAGUUUCAGAUGAGUGCCCAGGGGAGUUUGGUGCACGGCGUAAGACGGUGCACAUGGUGCAGGCAUCAAUUUCCGACUCUAGCACCGGAUCAAACCCGUUUUCGGAUCGAGUCGGAUCAAAACCAUGUUAAGAGACCACCUAGACCCGGUCCAAUCGGGCCGACUUGCUUGCUACUACUUUAAGCCUAUUUUCCAAAAAUGCCCCUCAUUCGCGUACCCUCGCCGCUGGUACGCAGCGUAAUUCCCGCCACAAUCGGGGUGGCAUUGUAAUAACCUGCGACCGACCGCGCCACAGCCCAAUUCAAGGACCUCAUUCCUCCGACCGCCACGUGUCGGUCGAACCCGUUAAUAUCGGGUAAACGUGAGGCGCUGUCGCCAUCUAAGAACUCUCGCGAACCCCGACAAGUUUCGCACCUUUUAAAACCCCCUCGCCCUCUUCUCCUCCUCCGUGUCAUCGUUCUCAUCAGCGUCAUCAUCAUCAUCAUCAUCAUCUUUUUUUUAGCACCAUCGAUCGAUUUCGAUCGAAAGAGGGCGAUCGCGAUAAUAUCUCCGCUUACCUUUUUCGGAGCACCGAUCGUCGUAGCUCUCCGAUCUGUAUAGAAGUUCGUUCGGUUCGCAGUUUGUUUUAAUCCGAAUUAUAUUCUUGCGGUUUAAUCGAUCUUAAUUGGAUCGUCAUUUUUGUUUUGAUCUCACUAGUUUAGGUAAUUAAUCGCGUUAUAUGGUCCGCGAUUUGCUCUCUCUCUCUCUCUCUCUCUAUAUAUAUAUAUAUAUAUAAGGUUGUUUAAUCACUCGAUCUUACGAUAUGAUCCACUGGAUUAUAUUUAGAUUUUCGGGAAAAGGUUGCUUAAAAUCGUUGAUUAGGAAUUAGAAGUUUUCUUACUACUUAACUUUUCUGUUUAUUAUUAUUAUUAUUAUUCUUACGUUGUUGUGUUGGAUGCGCGCUUAUUACUGUAGAAUCCGUAAAUUUAUAUGCUAAUUUUCUUUUGUUUGUUCAUCCUUUUUCAUUAGUCUUCAAAUUUCGACUUGUAAUCAUAUUUGAUCGGUUGAUGCUUCUUUAUUGCUGUAAAUGCUGCUGCUGUUUUGCAAAUUUUAUGUGUUGAAUUCCUAAUUGUCCUGUCUUGCUUCUGACGCUAUGUUUUCAGCGUCUUAAGUUUGAAAUGUUCAUUUGUUUAUGCUUUUCGUCUAUGAUGAUGCUAUGUCUUGUCUUGCUUUUGACUUGUCGAAUUCAUAAUUGUUGAGUUAUGACUACGGAACGCGUUCUGUUGCACGAUCUGUUAGCGAAUGAGUGAUCUAUGUAUAAUUUGUUUGGAAGUGCAAAUUAUAUUGAAGUGAUCUCAACGAUGUUCUUAUUAGCUAUUCUGUGUAGCCAACAGUGACAGCUAAAAGAACUGUGGCGUUUUAUCGUCUUUAGGAUUUUGUGCUGCACUAAUAAUAAUGCUCAAGUGCUGUGGUUUAGACAUUUUAGGCAUCCGAAUCGUCCGUAAGGAAUUUGAGUGCGAUUCUGUGCGAGCUAGAAGUCCUGCUUGUUGUUUUAUUUAUGCUGCCUCAUCAGGAAGACACAGAGACGGUUGUAUUGCUUUAUGUUCUUCCUGCGGCUAUAGGAUAGGAUUACUUUCUUAAAACUUUUCAGCAGCAAUCUAAGUUAUUGCUUAUUGAGACUUGAUUUACUUUUACAUUGAUAUUUUAUCUUUACGUUGCCAACUGAGACUUGGUUCACUUUUUCUCGGUUGUUGGAAAUUGAUUAUUAGAAUGCGAUGUAUUAUUUGAUAGUCUGUUUUGACAAGCGGAAUGAGCUUACCGAUGUUGAGUUGAGAUUUUCUCAACUGUAAAAUUACAUAAAACUGAAACAGUUCGCAAUUGACCCAAUUAUGUUGAUUUCGGCUCUAGAAUACACAGAUAAUGUCCACUAUUCUCAGUUGCAGCUGUUGAGCAUCUUUCUGGUUGCAAUAGUUCACUCUUUCUUUCGUCAUUCCAUCCUCAUUCUGUGAAAACCUCUAGAUUUGGAAAAUCACUUGUGUACGGAAUCCUUUUGAUUUGUAAUUAUCUCCAAAGUGGUUUGUAAGUUCCAGCUUUGUGGAAAAUAUUGCUUGAAAUCCAAUAAUGUUAUAAUUAUAUGCAUUUUGGUGUAUUGUUCAUCUUUUCUGGUGGGCAGCAAGACCAGAAAACCACGUGCAGGAUUACUUUGCAACUUGGUACCUGGUUGGGAUCAGGAUAUUAAUGGCUAUCCAUUUUAUAAGUAGGAAAAAGGUAGUUUAAUCUCCCAAAUUGCCUAGCUGCAAUACAUUAGGUAAACAGGUGAUAGGCAGGAAAACAAGGAGGGACCCAUACGCAUCUGAAGGAUACCCUUAUUGGAGAAGUGAAAGAUGGUAGAUUUUUUUAAUAAAAUGUAUAAGAAAAGUUCUAUGGAGGGGGUUGAAGAUGAAGCUGUGAACGACUGGCUAAGGUAGGCCUGUUUAUACUUGAUAUUAAAGGGAUUGAUCAGCUAUACCUUCUAAAUCUUCAAACCCUCUCGUCAACCCAUAUCACUUUCCCAUUUUUGCGUUUGAUUCUUGUUGCGUGUUGCUCUUGCCAGAACCUUGGACGGAUCUGUUGCUGGUGCACCACUUUGUUCAAUUUGCUUUCGGACUUCUUCAAGGGAGAAAGCGAUCAGUUAAUUAGUCAUUACUUACAAAGCUCGUGAUUCAGAAGUCUUUUCAGUGCAGCUUAAUAUUAAUUCUGUAGCUGUGCUUGUUCUGAUGAAUCAAUCUAUGGGAGUUGUGCUGAUUGGAGCUGUUCAACGUUGCUUGGCUUUUGUGCUUGAUAUAAUUUGGUCUUCAGCAGUAAUGGACAAUCCGAGAUUGGGUGUCUCCCUGCAUUCUGUAUUCAGAGCCAUUCUGCUAAAUGUCUUCAUAUUUGCAGGUGCAUUUGUUGUAUUUGCGCUGCCAAAGUAACUUUUGUAGCAAGACAUCAGUCAUUAAAUGGAGGCUGUGGUCAGUCAAUCUGAGCGACCUGUUGACCACCACGGGUCAAUAGGGAACGAGAAUAAAACUCAGGCCCCAUGCUCAAUAUUGGCCAAGCAGAAUGAUACAACGGCAGAAGUUGCAAAUGGUUUGAACUCUUUUGGCAGGGAACGACUAGAUGAAGGACUAAUGCAGUAUGGGUAAAUAUUCAAGUCUUUUUCUUUCCAAUACACUGUUUACAUACUUUUUAUUCUCAAAUUGUUUAUAAGAUUCAAAUUGUAUUGCUUUUGAUGGCCUUCUUCAUUUAGAGGGGCAAAGUAUAAGGUCAACAAUCAAUUGAAUAGGUUAAAUAAGUAUAUCCAUGGUUUAGGACUGCAACAAAAAAUGGGUUUGACCAUUACAUUGGGCUUUGGAAAAGUUUGUGCAAUAUUUUUAUGCUUCUGACUUUUAACUCCUGGUGACAGAUGUUCACAUUACCGACGAAGAUGCCGGAUCCGAGCUCCCUGUUGUAAUGAGAUAUUUGAUUGUCGACACUGCCACAAUGAAGCAAAAGUAAGAUCACCUGAUAAAUCAGUUUAGCUUUGUCUGAUUCUUAUGUAGUGUGUUAGUUUGGGAGUGUCAUGCAACAAGGUUCACCUGUAUUGGCCAUUUGAACUUGUCGUGUCCAGUGAGCAUGUGAAUUGAACAGUUGGUAGUAGAUUUGAGUUACAGUUUGUCACACAGUUUCUGCAGAAUUCCUUGACGUCAGUACAGCAUUUUAUCUUUGGUGGGCCUGUGAUUUCCUUUUUAUUUGUCUGCGUCAAAGACAUUGGUGUGAUUUCAUAGUUUUAGGAACAAAAGUUUAUCCUUUAUUACUGGCUUCAGUUUUUCUUUUUCCCCUGGCACAAGUUUGUGAAGAAAUUGGAGAGUUUUAUAAACUGAUAAAUUUUACUUGACAGAACUCAAUUAAUGUGGAUAGGAGGAAGAGACAUGACAUGCCUCGUCAACAACUGCAGCAGGUUCUUUUCUAUUCUAUCAUAUUUAAUUAUCUUCCUUUCAGCUUCAGAAAAUGUUACUUGGGCAGAUUCAUAGAGUAUUCCAGCUUGACUUACUAAUUUCUUUGUCAGGUUAUAUGUUCAUUGUGUGGUACUGAACAAGAGGUAAGUGUUUAUUCUGUGCUGGCUUCUUUUAUUAAUGUUGUUUGGCAUGUGGUAUGAUGAAGCUCCGGUGCUAGAAUAAGAUGCAUCCUAAGACAAACAAGGAUGCGGGGUUAAAGUUUAACAAAAAGAGUCUUUUAUUUCACAUACAUGAGAAAGAAUGGUGCUAUAUGAACCUUUCAUUUAUUCAUUGAAAACAAUCUCGUGAGUUCCAUUGUCUAGGUCUUUUGGUGUCUACACAGUUCAGCUACAUAAGCAGCCCGGUAUUAUGAUACAGGAUGCAGCUUAUUCUGUGUUCAUUAGCUUUAUGUGUGUGUGUGUGUGUGUGUGUGUGUGUGUGUGUGUGGUGAUUGAAAUUUUCCAGUUUAUUGAUCAUAGAAAGCCCGAUUUGUCAUUAUUAACAGGUACGACAAGUAUGCAUCAACUGCGGUGUAUGCAUGGGGAAGUACUUCUGUGCAACAUGCAAGUUGUUCGAUGAUGAUGUCAGUAAGAAGACUAGAUAUUUGGAGCUCUUCCUCUUCUUCUUCUUCUUUAUGCCAGUAUGACUAGGGAAGAAAUCUCACUUAUCUUUACUGAGCCUUUUUUCCCCCUUUGAACUUCUAGGUAUCAAAGCAACAGUACCAUUGCAACGGCUGUGGAAUCUGCAGGUUUGGUGCUACAUAUUGAUGUUCCUGCUAUAGUUUUGCAUUGAUAAAUUUGAAUGUUCUAUUUACAUCUACUUCUUUUCUCUUGCAGGAUUGGUGGUCGGGAGAACUUUUUCCAUUGCUAUAGAUGCGGUAAUGCUCCUAACUUAGAUGACUAUAUUCUUGAGAAAUCCAUUUAAUUAUUCAAUUAAUUAGCAUAUGGAUAAACCAUUGAUGAAAUUUCUUUGUAGUUCAUAUGAGGACGAGCGAGGGGAGCGAAUAAUAUGUAUAUCUUGUUUGUUUGUUAUCAGGGAAAGAAGUUUUAUCCUGUUGUAUGCUAGUGUGCAUUUAUGAAUUGUUUUAUGCUGUUGUAUGCUAAUCUGCAGUUAUGAAUUGUGAACGUUGUCACGCAUAAUAUAAACAGUUGUCACUGCUUUUACAAGAGUUUGCUAAUUUAGUCUCAUUCUUUGAAUGUCAUAUUUUUUGAGGUCUUCCAUCUUUAUUUGCCAUUGCAUAAUAGUUGCAUUUUUUUUUUCUUUCACCUUGCUCAAUGAACUAAUUUUUUUGGUAUAAAUUGAAGGCUGCUGCUACUCAACUAUACUGAAAAACAGCCACGCAUGUGUUGAAGGAGCAAUGCAUCAUGAUUGCCCUGUAUGUUUUGAGGUGAGACUCUUUUCCUCCUUUUCCUACUCACUAUUCUUUGUUUUUUCCUGAGAACUCAGAUCGACUUCUCUCUCUGUUUUCCAAAUUAAUAAAAUAUCCUUGAUUUGCAGUAUCUUUUCGAAUCCCGAUACGAUGUGUCAGUUUUGCCGUGUGGUCACACCAUUCACGUGCAUUGCUUGAAGGAAAUGCGAGAACACUUGCAGUAAGUUUAUACAGUGCUUUGAUCGUUGUCUCUUGUUUCAUUUGCUUUGCCCAAUGUUCAUAUAGCUUAAUUUGAUAACAAAUUGUUUCCAGGUAUGCGUGUCCUCUUUGUUCCAAAUCUGUGUGUGACAUGUCGAAAGUAUGGGAAAAGUUGGACAUGGAGAUAGCAGCCACACCAAUGCCUGAAUCUUUUCAAAAUAAAAUGGUAGAUUUCCCUUGGCCACGUUCUAACUGCAAAAUGCAGUCAAUUUUGAAGAAAUUAUAUUCCGUUCUAGUGAGCUAUUCUGAUAUUGAGCUAUUCUGAUAUUACCUACCUGUUAGCGUAACUAUGGUCGAACCAAAGCUUACUUGACUCCACUAUGUUAACUUGGUUUAGGAGCGCAUUUCACUGGUCAUCUGUUUAAAACUCUUAAUUAGAUGCAAACAAAAACACCGGCUUUGAAAGUUGUUUUCUGAGAUUCCCUAAUUUUCCUCUUCUUUUGGCAGUUCUUUUAACAUGAGAUAAAUUAAACUUUUAUCAGAACAGUCCAAUCCAUGACAAACACAUGAAAACUAUGACGAACCCUCCAAUGUUAUCAUUGCAUUGAGAUUGAUGAUUACAGGGCGCAUUUUCUGAGAUUAAGAAGCAUAUUAUAAAACUGAUAUCUACUCGGCAUUGCAGGUACGCAUACUGUGCAAUGACUGUGGUGCAACGUCGCAGGUCCAGUUCCAUGUGGUCGCCCAGAAAUGCCAGAAGUGCAAAUCGUACAAUACCCGUCAGACCUAGCGCGUAGGGGAAUCAGUAUUUAGCCAAAUCAAAAUGUGGCUGUUGUUGUUGUUCUGUCGUAGCCUUGUUGGCUAUUUGGGCAAAUGAAAAUGUGGUUGUACUGUUGCGUUCUUUUUGUAGUGUUGUUGGCUAUCUGCUAUCGAUUUAUUUGUGCAAGGUUGUCAUCUUCCGUAGCUAACCAUUGAAAUCAGGCUUGUCAUCUUGGCUGCUAAAAGUUUUAUGGCUGUGGCCUGUGGGUCUAUACGGAACGCGACAUUUGUCCUCGGAAUUGGUUGGAUCUUGUCUUGAGCCAUUAUAUUCGAUCAGCUCUAUUUUACAAUGCUUAAAAAGACAAUGGACUACCUGACUUCGGAUCAAUAGGUCGUGGGUUUGUCUCCCGCUGUGGUCGGUGAACUUAUAAUCCCCUCUCGAGUUGCACAUGAGACACUCCUACCUGAUACCUACAUUAUAUUUAUAAUAUGGGAGGCUCCUCCCAUUCAUCGUAGGAAGCAGUGGGUUUAACAAGUUACAUCAAUGUGAUUAGUGAAAGAGUUUUUGCCAUUUUAAUUAAGCGUAUGAUACUUUUUAGUUGAAACCGAAGGAAGCUUAUGCUGAAGCCGGCGGAGAAAACCGUUCGUCGGCCGAUAUCGGCGCGUUUUGCUGCCGUCGUGCACUAACUUUACCCGACAGCCCAAGUCUUCACUCUCAAAGCAACAGGCACCGUAAAGACAACUUCACAUUUGUAGGUUUUCAUCCCGAGGCCCGAACAAUAUUUAGGCCGGAGCCCAAAUACCAUCGCCGGUUAAUCUCACCCCGCGGCCCAAGAUCGGCCCAAGCUGCUUAGUGCACGAAUCUGAAAGCUGCACGCAUCUUAAGGACAAUCCGCUCCUCUCCUCGUCCUCCUCCUCCCCGAUCGCUAAAACCUAGUAAAACCUCUUCCUUCGCUCGUCCCUCUCUCUCUCUCUCUCUCUCUCUCUGUCUCACUCUAUCGUCGCCGUCCUCGGGACUGUUCCGUCCGUCACGUCCUCUUCCGAUGUUGCUCCGGCGACCCCCCCAAUCCCUAAGACCCCUGCUCCUCCGCCGCCCCUUCUCCUCCUCCUCCUCCGCCGCCGCCGCCGCCGCGGAUCAUCCCCGGCGAGAGGAGGUAUCGUGUUGGGACCCCUCGGCGCCGCUGGAGUACCUGGAGGGGUUCCCCCGCCCCGACCCUAAGCACGCGGAGACGAUCCUCGCGGUCCCGCGCGGCGCCUCGGGGAAGAUCGCGGCGGCGAAGGAGCGCAAGGCGGGACGGGUUCCGAGCAUCGUCUUCGAGCAGGAGAAAGGGGAGGAGGGCGGGAACAAGCGCCUCGUCUCCGUCCCGACCAAGCAGAUCCGUAAGCUCGUCGACCAUCUCGGCCGAUCCUUCGACCUCGAGGUCUGGUCCGAACCCGCCAGAUCCGGCGAUCUCAUCGAGAAGGUUCGGGUCCUGCCCCGAAAGGUAACCCUUCAUUCUCGGAUCAACCUCUGCCAAUAAUUUUCCUAAAAGAAUUAGAAAUUAAAUCUGAUUUUAUUGAGGAAUUAUAAGCGAAAUUGAUGAAUGAGUAGUUCGAUGCUGCUAGAGCAGAUGCAUAAGAAGUUCGGCCUUUAGUGCUAGCUAAAUCACAUCAGGUUAUGCUGGAUAAACUUUAGUGCGUGCAUUCAAUGGAACAAUGGAGUGUAAUGCGAAAAAUAAGAUCUUCGAAACAGUGCUUUUGUAUGAAGUAGCUGUUCGCUUUAGCCUCUUAAGUCUGCUAAUUUGUAUUACAUGCUGCGAUUUUUGCUAAUUUUAGUAGCAGGACUAGAUGAAGUGACAAAUGUGGUAAUGGGUUGUAGGAUUUAGUGGCUUGUUGGUGCUAUGACUCAUCUUUCUUGAGGAUGUUUUCGAGAUUGUAUAAAGCAUUUGGCGAUAAUGAAUGUUCUUUAUAGUGACAUUAUAUAGGGUGAAUGAUUGCUCGCCACUUGGAUAUUUAUGGAACUUUAGUUCUAGAAUAGCGGCUUUGCUUUUUUUUUUGUUGGAUAUGUCAAAAUUUAAAGGUGCAUCAUCUUUGUAUACACUAUAUACAGUGUAGAUGGAGUUAUUGUUUCAUAUGAAUUACAUGGCAAAAGUGUAUCCAUUGAAAGUAAUAAAAAGCCUCCUCAAUUAUGUGACUACAUAUAUUAGUUUUUCAAUCCUUUAGAGGUUUUUAUUAGGAGUAUUUGAGCAGGCCUUUAUGUUCAUUAACAAAUAAUGCAUAAAUUUACAAUUUACUUUAGAGGGCUUUAUUUGAUGAGUAUGGUCUUUGAAUUAUGCAGUUGCAUCUUCAUGCGGGCACUGAUGCUCCUCUUAAUGUCACAUUCUUGAGAGCUCCUUCCUCCGCAUUACUCAAAGUUGACGUUCCUCUUGUAUUCAGAGGAGAAGAUGCAUCCCCGGGACUUAGAAAAGGUAUGUUAUACUAGGACGCGUUUCUUGAAAGUUUCAAUGACCUGAUGGACUUUUUAUUUGCUUAAUAUGUACAUUUUACAUGCGUAAUUCAAAUUUUUGUACUCUCCAACCUCCUCAUCUUCAGAGUCCUUUUUUUAUGAUUCUUUAACCCAAUACUUCGUGAGGCAGUGAAAGUGGCCUCCUAUUUCUCAUGCAUACCAUUCCUAGAACUUCCAUCUGUGAGAUUUGUUGUAUCUUAGCGUGUUGGUCUUCAUGUUAACAUGUCAAGUGUGUUAAGUAUUUGUUCUAGUACGGUAGAUAAAGCUUGACAUUUUAGUUGCUAAUUUGCAUCAACAACUCAUUUUUAUGUUUCUGCUGUUGUAAUUUCUUGAUCGUUAUCAUGGCACAUUUGUGUACGUUAAAUAUUGAGUUGUCCGUCUUUUCACUUUUGUUCAUGGUAUAAAUGCAGGUAAGAAAUUUUAGGUGCUACAUGAUAUAAUUCUUAUCUUAAGAUCUUUUUGUAAGAAAUAAAAAAACCUCUGAUGCAUCUUACACACUGAAAUAGUACUUCACCUUGGCGGAGUGGAAUUGGCAUACAUUAGCUGUCAUUACAGAAGUAGGCUGAGUGAAACUUUCCUCAUGAACCAUAUGAGCCUAGUUAUCUGGACUGCUUAUCUGAUAAUACUACUUUGUACAACUGCAGUGCCUUUUAGGUGUUAUGUGUCUUUUUAAACUUAGUUCAAUGGUGCAAAUUCAAAUGGAAUAAUGUCAAACUGCUGCGUACAUGUUUAUCUAUCUUUCUUAGUUUUGUUUCUAGUUUUUUUUUCGUAUUUUGGAUCUUUUCUUGGUAGCCGCUGUUGUUCUAUCUUCGCACUCUACGUAGGUUGUUGUUUGAAAUGUCCUUUCAUUAUUGAUAACUCAUCGACAAAUAAAUUUACAUCGCAGGGGCUUAUUUCAACACCAUAAAAAGGACGGUCAAAUUUCUUUGCCCGGCCGACAUUAUUCCCCCAUACAUAGAUGUGGACUUAAGCGAGUUAGAUGUGGGCGAGAAAUUGUUGAUGCGCGACCUCAAAGUUCAUCCCGCCCUACGCCUGCUUCAGUCACCUGACCAACCUAUUUGUAGCAUUAUAGGAUCAAGAGCACCGGAGCAAAAGAAGUCGAAAUGAGUCUUCUGCAUCUCCAGCAGAGAAGCCAUUACAAAUCUACAAGCCCAACUCUUUCAUUUUCACGAAUCUGCCUCGAAUCCGCUUCCAGAUUAUUGGACGAGUGUUGCGAUCAUCUAUAUAAUCCUUGGAAGCGGCGUAAAUUGUAUUAACCCAUGUUGUUUGUCCUCUGCAGCCAUUUUUUAACCAGUGGUGUAAAAGGAUUUUGAGCAAAAAUAAAGUUUAGGAAUCCUCUUUUUGUUUAGAAUAUAUUUAUUUACCUUCACAAAAGGUAAAGAAACUUUUUUUUUCUUUUAUUUUUUCGUCGUAUGUUUGUACUUUUAAUAGGCCUAGCUUAAAUACCUUGCUAUUCUGAUUCGCGAGGCAUGUGGCUUUUUAUACGAUUAUUAUCUUUUAUUCUGUUGACAUGUUUUUUUUCUUCUUGUUUUUUUUUUUUAAUCUCCUCCAAACUUUGAGAUGAAAACAUAUAGAAGGGUAGGUUUCUUCAUUUUAAAUAAACCAACAAUUUGUGUAUUACCGAGCACUUUUAAUCUCACAAAAUUUGAAAGAAAAUUAAAGUAAAAUUAAAAGCAAGCAGGAUUAACGCUAAAGUAUACGGCUAACGCCACUUAAUUCCUGCGCACACGCAAGCUGCGGCACAAGUAAUUCAAAGCUUGAUUGGGACUCAGCGUUGCACAUCUGUUGUUGCUUUUGCGCCCACCUAAAGUUUGUGCAUCAAAUUACCCCAAAAGGAGGGGAGAAAAAAAAAAGAAAAAGGAAAAAAAAAAAAAAGAAAAAAGUUUGUUCAACGAAUAGCAUGUGUGAGGGUGCAGGGUCGGUGGCACGGGACAGUAAAAACGUUCGAGAUAAAUCUUUAUAUUUAUAUUAUUAUAUUCUAAUAGUAAGCUUUUUACACUACUAUUCAUUUGAAAAUAAUAGGUCUCUUUAAUACGGGUGUAGUUCUUUUGAGAGUUCUGAUUUAGUAGAGUUAUUAUAUCUGGCAAACUAUUGCAGCCUCUUCAUUAUUAAUAUUUGUCAACAAUUUCUUUCUUUUCAGUAGAAGAUAAACAGGAGGUUCAAAUUGAAACGUCUAACUAUAAAACCUGGCUUUUGAACAAUCUUAUUAUUCUUUUAAGUAAAGAAACUGUUCUACAAACCAAAACAGAUAUGCAGUGCAUAGAAGAUCUUGACGCCAAAUUCGGCGAAUUACAGUUCUCCAAUCCUCAUUUUAGUUCAGCUUCAGGAUGUUUAGGAAUGUAAGCAUACCGUCACAAUUGCUUCUAAUGAAGUUUUCUACAAAAAAUACAUCUUUUUGCGCACAUCAAGCGCCUAAACCUUUGCAUCUAAGGCAUGUAUAAGAUCAGAGGAUGAAGGCAAAGAAAACAAGUGCAGCAGAAGCUAAAGCAAAAUGAAAGAGAGAGAUAGUAAGGUGAAUUCUUUGCUUCUAAGAUAGUUCUCGAGCUUUGGAUGGUAGAACAAAAUGUGUUACCAUGUCACAAGCUUGCGAAAUACACACCUCACCAAACAUUCAAUAUUUCAUUUAUCACAAACAUGAAAGAACCAAACUUCACAAGUAAAUAAGCCAACAUAUGUUCUGAGUUACCUCAUGUUCGGUCAUAGAACACAACACAGUCGUCAUGAAAGAAAGAAAAAUAUUGAAGCCCAUGCAAUGGCUACCACCGCCCUUUCCGUUCGGAAUAAUAAGUUGAACGAAAAGCUCGCCAUAAGCUAAGGGAAAGAAAAAGAAAAAACGACUCAAAGUGACAAUAAUCACGAGCAACAAUCGCCGGGGAACAACACCAUUUACAUAGUGAUCAUUCAUGGCUGCAGCAGAAACAUAGGACACAGCUCUUAGUAUACGAAUGAUCAAAGCUGUUCGCCUCGGCAGAUGUUGCAGUAUCGCUCGUCAGUUAUUGAUGGGUUCGAAGACACAGUCGCCGCGAUAGUUUGGUUUCGAAGAACUAAGAGUGUCUCUCAUGGGCUCUUCCUCCAUGAUAAAUAUUUCCCGGCACUCGGGGCUGCAGAACGCUUUCUCACCCCUACAAUUUACGUGCAAAAUAAGAUUAGAAAUGAGCUACUUAACUGCGAAAUCGAGGAUAACAAGCGACGGGUAAUAUCUGAUUACUCACAGAUAAAUAUAGAUGUCUUUGCCUUCACUCAACUUCUCGUUGCAGGAGCAGCAGACGCUGAAAAUGUCAUCGCAAAACUUAUAGAUUGGCAAAUCUUGGGACGGCUCAGCAACAAAAGGAGAGCCUUCGACAUCUUCUACGGGGGAGCAAUUUGUACGGGUCUCCAACACACGAUCGCGAAAAAUGUGAGUUGUUUUGGGGUCGGGGCCACGAGAGAUAACGCAAGUAUACUCCUCGGAUUGUGUGAUCUCAUUCAUGGACUGGUUACAUAUGAAUCCAUCAGAAGCAUCAUCUAACAUCGGCUGCGAAUUAGAACUAGGAAAAUGCGGACUAUUAGGCAUAUAUUGAUCAAUAGGUUCCGAUAAUGUCAGCUCUAGCACUGAUUCUUGUUGAUUCAAUUCAUAACAAGGAUUAACAGGUGCUUGUAAAGAGUUCUCCUCGACAUGCAGGUGGGUCUUUGAGCUUGGUACAUUGACCCUCAUCUCUGGCCCCAGAAGCAAUUUUCUGCUGCUCCCAGAAGCAGUUAUGCUCUCAUCAUUCAGAGAACCCACUAAGCGAAGCCCCACCCUGUUGCAAUCCAAGUCCAAUCUCUUCGGUUGCGGCCAAUACGGGCCAGGUGAUCUAGGAGAACUAACAAUGGUGGAGCCAAGAACUGAGAAAACCUUAGAAUCCAAAGGAGAGGUAGGGCUCCAAAUUGACUCAGAAUCUAAUAAGCCCUUUGUGCUCAACCUCACAAAGAGGCCAGGGACUCUAAAGAAGCCGCUUUUAUGCGCAAGGGAGUCAGAUGAGGAGUUGGGAGCUGAAGCUGCUUCUGCCAUUUUACCACCUUUAAGAUUUUGAUCUUUUUCAGCAGGGCAACUCCUCCAAAAUGGGGCAAAAAAAGGAAAAAAAAGUUCCUGAAAAAUGAAAGAACUAUGUAGAGUUAGUUAGAUGUGAGGCACAACAUAUAAUUGAUCAUAGUGAGAGGGGAAAAGAAAGAAAAAAAUAAAAGAAAAAAAAAAGAAGAAGAAAAGGCAGUGAUAAGAACCCAAAUUUAUAGAUCAACAAGUUUAGGGAAAAAAAAAGGAAUUUUUCACUUGCAUGCAGAUUAAAUGAAUAGAAAUAUACAACAAAAACCAUGUUGCUAAUACAACCAUCAAUACCAAUCCAAGAUGAACCCAAAAAAAAAAAAGAACAUUUUUUUUUUUGUAAUUUAGAAAAACCCAAUUAAAAAGCAAGAGAAAUCAUCAAAUAGUAGUAGUAUGUAAUCAGGAUCAAAACAAUUAGAACACCCACCAUGGAAGAGCAAGCAUUGAAAAGGGGAUGGGGUGAGUGAAUGCGUCAGAAAAGGACUAAAAUGUACAGAACCAUACGAUCUAAAUCAUAUCCAAAGGAAAAACACAUUGAUCAAAGAUUAAGAAAAGUUUUAUAAACAACCUCAAAAGAGGCAAUCUAAUCCCACUAACCUAAAAGCUAAACAGAGAAAAAUGGCCUAGAAUGCCAAGAUGAAACACACCGCAAAAUUGCCCAAAUCAACGAUUUAGACGCCACAAAUUGCAGGUUUUUGUAGGGUUUUAGUGCAAAUCAGAGAAACCCAGAUAGGCCAAAAUCUAUAAAACGCAUCAAAAGGAGAGAUCUUUACACAAAAAAUGAGAAGAAUUACGAAACCCAGAUGACCCCAAAAAAAAAAAGAAGAAAAAUCUAGAAACCGCGUGAAAAAGGAGAGAUUUUUACAGAUGAAAAUGAGAUGAAAACACACCUCACCUCCUGCAAUUGUAGUCUUUUUCUCCUCUAAAUGUUCCUGUGCUUCAGAGAGAGAGAAAAAGGAGGAGCUCUUGGACUCAGAGGAGACCCAAAAAGAGUACUAGAAUUACGAGAUUGUGUGAUGCUCCCUCUCCAUCUCCCCUCUCUCUCUCUCUCUCUCUCUCUCUUUCACUGUAGCAUAAAAAAAAAAGCCAGGUGGAGCAAUGGCUUUGUGAGUACUCUUCUCGUAUGCAAGAGCUGAUCCUUUGCAAUGUUAGUUGCAGGAAUUUGCUACAACCAACGAACCCGGCGCACACUUAUUGGUUACCUGUGCGCGUAACUGUAAACAUAUUGAAUAGCAAACAUAUCCCUACAAAGUUUAACUUUUUAUUUUUAUCUCUACAAAAGUCCAGUAAUAUUCAUAUUUGCUCUACUGGUUUGUUAUCGUUAGAGUAUUGUUUAUUUUUUAACAGCAGUUAGGUGAAAUGAUAUUUUUAUCCUUAUAAAUAUAUUUCUUCAAAAGUUCAAAUUAUUAAAAUUAUACAAAAAUAUCCUCCAAAAAAAUAUUUUAUUUAAUAAUAUAAGAAAACGUAAAAAGAUUAAUUUAACUCAUUUUCUAAUCAGAAUUAAAUAUUUUACUCAUGAUUAACUAUUUUUUUCUAACGGAUCCUAAGAAUAAGGAUAUAUUUGAAAACGAUAAGAUAUUUACAGGAAUAAAAAAAAAAAAAAAAAUUUUGUAAAGAUAUAUCUGCUAUGCUAUUCGAUAAAUUUACAAGAAGCUGUUCGUACUUAAUUUUAUUUUAAAAAUCAGUCCGAUUGUGACCCGGUGCCCAAAAUAGGUCUUUAUAAAAUCGCAAAAUUUAAAAGUAGUUAAUCAGUCAAACAUGUAGUUUUCCUUUUUGGUAUGGAAAUUAAAAAUGUAUGGAGCUUUAUUUAACAAUAAAACACGUAGGCAAUUGUGAUGUUAUGUUAAAUAUUUUGUAGAAAAGGUCUUGUGGAGAAUCUCCCAGCAUUUUCUCAUUCGUGAAUGUCACUAACUCAAAAGUUUCAAAAGGAAAAAGAAAGGAAAUUGCAUCAUGGCAAUCUAGGAAAGCUAAUUUAGUUAUUAAUUUAAUUGUUUUCAUAGAUUAUUAUUAAAAUUAUGGUACACCAUUGACACUCAGCUGAUGUUGAUUAAUUGAUUGAUUAAGUGCAUAAAAAGAACUUUUAAUUAGGCAUAAAUAUUAUGUAUUGCAUAAAACCACAAAGGAUUCAGUUAUCUAUCACAAAUUAUUUUUAAUAAUUUAUUUUAUUUAAUAUUUCCCCCAAAUUGCAAUUAUUUUCACCUUUCUUGAGGCAAAAUUAACAGAGAGUUUCAUUUUAGUCCCCAAUUUAAGAAGUACCUUUUUUUUUUUCAGUUAGCUCUCUAAUUUUUGCAUUUUAUUUUAUUAUAUUUCUUAAUGUUUGCCACUGUAUUGUAAUCUUAAAUCAUAGUCCCAAGUAAUGUAAUGAGUGAUCAUUAGUACCAAGGUAUUAUUGCUAAUUACUUUUUGUUGGGGAUGAAUGUGGAAAGUUCUCGAUCAACUUUUUCUUUUUCCUUUCUAUGUAUCUCAAAAAUCAGUCCAACUAUGAGUCUAGUAAAAUAUUAAAUGAAAUAUCUUAAAGUAUUAUACAAAAUUAUCAACUUAUUAAUAAUAAUAUACGGAGAUUACUGAUGUCGAUCCAAAUUUCUUUCUUCUUUUAAAAAAUUAGCUUGGGAUUUCUCUAAUUCCAAGAUCUUUCAAACUAGAAUUAUUAUAUAUUAUUUGAGAAGUCGAGUUCACCGAAGAUAACUUAAUGGAUAAUAACUGUGGGAGUAUUUUUGAAUAACGAAGGAAUAUAUAUGAGAGAAAUAUUGAAAAUAAAAAUAAAUUAGAUAUUUUUGAAAUUUUAAAGAACAUAUAGAUAAUUAUUCGUAAAAUUAAAAUUGACGAGAAUAAUAAUAAUAAUAAUAAUAAUCACUAAGAACCAAUAAUUUAGCCCCCUAAAGAGAGAAAAACAAAAAAAAAUUAUUUGUUCAUGUACAACGUUUGACUGGGCCAAACUAAAUUGUUGGUUAGUGUCACAAUUCAUUGGGAGUGAAUUACGCACUAACGGCCACCACACAAAAUGGACGUUUGUGGCGUAACCACACCAAACUCCAAUCUAAUUAAUUAUAAACACUUAAAGCCGAAGUUUCAGAGAUCCGUCCGUUCUUUCAAAAUCCGACGGUUGCGAUCGAAAUGGUUAGUUCGUAAAUAAAAACCCCCAAAAUAGGCCGCGUUACACGUGUAUCCACGGGCCGUGUACACUAUGUUCGACUAUGAACGGCGUAGGAUGCUUCUCUUGAAAAAAACAAAAAGAAAAUUAGGAAACGAACAAAGUAAUAAAUAGAUCUGGUUUGCUCUCAGGAGCACUGAUGUCUUCAUAUUUCUAAGACUUCGUUUGAAAUUAUGGAAAGAUUGCAUUACGUGCGGUCAGAAAGUACGUUAAAAAAAAUAUCAUGUUUGCUACGUAAUAUUGCGUUCCGCAUAUUACGAUUAGUCAGUUACGACAUAUUUUCUGCCGUCCCACCGGAGAAUGCAGAAGCAUAUCCCUAUUUGCUUUUUCCUCAACUCCAUUUUAUCUAAUAGUAUUAGAUAGGUCUCAAUACCAAACUAAACCUAAACCGUUUUUUAUGAUGGGACUGCGGAAUCAACAAUCGGUUUCGUUAGAAUUGAUCUAGCAUAUUUAAAGUAUUUAGAGAAUAAAUUUUAUGAUUUUUCGAUAUCAUUUACCUACCGAUCAAAGAGUUUAAAAUCAAUAAUUUUUAAUAAUUGAUGUAUAUUAUUUACAAGUUUAACAGUGUAAAAAUAUUCAAAUCAGAUGAAAUUUUGAUAAAAAAUUUUUGUACUAUUAAUUAUAAGUGUACUACGAAUUAUAAGUGUACUACGAAAAUUAAAUUAAAAUUUACAGAUUAAUCUGAACUAUAAAUCAUUCCAAAUCGGCUAUUCAAUCUUUCAGAAUUUUAGUUGUGCCAGCCAAAUUUUCAACUUGUUUGAUUUAAGUCGGUAAUCGAUACUUUGACUUUAAAUAUAAUAUAAUUACUAAUUUUAAUAAAUUUAUAGUUCUAAAAAUUGCAUGAAAUAUGUUCAAUAAAUCUGUAAAGAAAAAUAAUAUAUUUAAUUUUUAAAGUCAAAGUAUCAAACAAAUUAAAAGGAUAGAUAGUAUAUCAAAGGUAAAAUUAAAAUUUUGAAAAAUUGAAUAGUUAAUUUAAAAUGAUUUAUAGUUCAAAUAAGUUUUGUAAAGUUUUACCCAAUUAAUAAAUUGUUGUACAAAAACAAAUUAAAAUAUCUUAACAUUGUAAUGUUCAUAAUUAAACCCUCAAAAUUCAUUAGCUCUUAGGGCGUGUUUGAUUUGCUUCUUUUUUAUCCUGAAAUCGGAAUCGGCAUGGAUAAGUCUGUUUGUAGAUGUUUGGUACGCGGGAGCCCCAUUCCGAUUCCAAUUCCCGAAUGGAUUGAGAAUCCCUCAAUCACCUCUUUUUUCAAUCAGGCCUAGGAGGCCGGAUUGAAAGUUGAAUGCGGACGGAAUGAUAUUUACUCGGAUUAAAUUUAUUUUUUCAACAUUCUUAAUUAAAAUAUGAGUUAAAAUUUAAAAAUUAAAUAUAUAAUUUUAAAUUUUAAUUUAAACUUAAAUUAAAAAUUAAAAUUUAAUCAAAUAUUUCGAAUCUAAUUUAUGAAUUUGAAUUUAAAUUAAAUUUUAACUUAUAUAAAGUUUUAUUCAAAUUU
rnacentral:lncRNA from 1 species